GACGAACGCUGGCGGCGUGCUUAACACAUGCAAGUCGAGCGGUAAGGCCCUUUCGGGGGUACACGAGCGGCGAACGGGUGAGUAACACGUGGGUGACCUGCCCUCAGCUCUGGGAUAAGCCUGGGAAACCGGGUCUAAUACUGGAUAUGACUCCAUGACGCAUGUUGGUGGGGUGGAAAGCCUUGUGCGGCUGAGGAUGGGCCCGCGGCCUAUCAGCUUGUUGGGUGGGGUGAGGCCUACCAAGGCGACGACGGGUAGCCGGCCUGAGAGGGCGACCGGCCACACUGGGACUGAGACACGGCCCAGACUCCUACGGGAGGCAGCAGUGGGGAAUCUUGCGCAAUGGGCGAAAGCCUGACGCAGCGACGCCGCGUGAGGGA
rnacentral:rRNA from 1 species